CCUUCAAGAUAGGGUUUUUGUUAUCUCCCCAUAUUCUCUCCAUCUUUUUCUGGUUUUGAUUUCAGUUUCAAUUUCAAUUUCAGACAAACCCUUCAUAUCUUUCAUCGACGAUUAAACCUAAUUUCUUCUUCAAUCUGUAGCCUGAUUUUAUUGAUACGUGCAUUGAAUGCCGAUAGGCAUCCAUUGAUACCCCAUAACCAUUUGAUCGGAUUCUUUGGGGCUCCGGAAUACRUGAUUAGUUGCUCAUUUUCUAUUGAAUUUAUCAAGUAUUCUGCAAAGGAAAGAAAAAGAUUGGGUCUUUUUGAGGGUUUGAAUACAUGUCCUUCAAUCAACCAAGGGGUGAUAAGAAUGAGCCGUCACAGCACAGAAAAUUGGGUCGAUCUGGUAACGCUGCCUUGCAAAGGAACUACUCCGGGGGUGGCGGGAAGGGCGGCGGCGGCGGAGGAGGUAGUACCACCGCCCCACCAUCCUCCUCUUCAUCUUCUUCUAAUAUGGUUAGAUUAUGUAAUGAUUUCGAAUAAUUUUUCUUCAUUUUGCUUUGGAUUUGUAAUUGUUUCGUGUUAGUAUUUUUCAAAUUGAUAUGCAAUUUGUAGAGAAAAACAUGGAAGAUUAAAGUGAUUGAGAACUGUACCGAGAACUACUAAAUAACUGGAAGCCUAAAAUCGUCUUCUCUGGUUCCAU